rnacentral:sRNA from 1 species
AUCAGAACUGUGAAGCAGGCUGAUGAAUGAGACCUCAGUUUCCUAGCUCCAGAAACAAGACCCUGAUCACAAGUACAAUUUGGGCU